rnacentral:rRNA from 1 species
AGAGUUUGAUCCUGGCUCAGAACGAACGCUGGCGGCACGCCUAACACAUGCAAGUCGAGCGAGAUUUUCGGAUCUAGCGGCGGACGGGUUAGUAACGCGUGGGAACGUACCUUUUGCUACGGAAUAGCCUCGGGAAACUGGGAGUAAUACCGUAUGUGCCCUUUUGGGGAAAGAUUUAUCGGCAAAAGAUCGGCCCGCGUCUGAUCAGAUAGUUGGUGGGGUAAUGGCCUACCAAGUCACCGAUCAGUAGCUGGUUUGAGAGGAUGAUCAGCAACACUGGGACUGAGACACGGCCCAGACUCCUACGGGAGGCAGCAGCGGGGAAUCUUAGACAAUGGGCGCAAGCCUGAUCUAGCGAUGCCGCGUGAGUGACGAAGGCCUUAGGGUCGUAAAGCUCUUUCGCCAGGGAUGAUAAUGACAGUACCUGGUAAAGAAACCCCGGCUAACUCCGUGCCAGCAGCCGCGGUAAUACGGAGGGGGUUAGCGUUGUUCGGAAUUACUGGGCGUAAAGCGCACGUAGGCGGAUCAGAAAGUUGGGGGUGAAAUCCCGGGGCUCAACCCCGGAACUGCCUCCAAAACUAUUGGUCUAGAGUUCGAGAGAGGUGAGUGGAAUUCCGAGUGUAGAGGUGAAAUUCGUAGAUUUUCGGAGGAACACCAGUGGCGAAGGCGGCUCACUGGCUCGAUACUGACGCU